rnacentral:snRNA from 1 species
UGGUUUCAGUUGCCAGCGAUAGGC